CAUUCACAUUGUAAUUGUUAAUGCUCCGAUUCUACACUGGUGAUAAUCCAUACAUCAUAUUUUGGAGUAGGACUAGGAGUGGCUUUGGUUUCACAUUAUACAUUUUAAGAUGUAUUCAAAUUAGGGAACUCAAAUGGUAAAAAAAGAAAGUCCAUAAAUCACAGUUUUAGUCAAAUUUGUCCCUACACAAAUUAUAUUCCUUUUAAAAAAACCUGGCCAUUUGUAAAACACAACAUUAUCUUGUUAAAUGUUUAACUGUAGACAACGCCAAAUUUUCUGUAACACUAACUAGGACCACACCGAUGUCAGGAGGAAAAAUAACACCACAUGAGAUUGUCAAACAUUGUUAUGAAAACACCAACCCUCUUUACUGUUCAGAUACCUUCUGUACACACAGACCUACAUGGGCCUGCACAGACACUUUCACACCCAUGUUGUUUUUCUCACAUACACGCAGAAUGAAAAUAAGCCUUGGUUUAUCCUUUUUUCUUUUUCCUGUGCCAUCCAAAUGUCUACAUAACCCUUUUUUACCCAGGUAUGUCUUAUGUUUACAUAAGCGUGGAACUUUGUUUUCGGUGUCUGUUGUCUUAAAGGGGAAAGACGUUCGGCACUCUCUUUAUCCGUCCUAGACAUGUCAAGCAAUGUGUUGUAGGCUUGGUCAUCAUGGGAUGUCAUUUUUGUGAUGGGUCAAAGGAUUUUUUUAUCACCUUCAACAUUGCCUGGGAGAGUAAACUGGGGGAGAAAGCAAUGCCAGCCUUUAAACAUUGUUGAGGGAUCUUUCUUCUUCAGUUAACUGGAACUUAUAUACCAAUGGUUCGAUUCCGACUUGACAAUUUUACUCAAAAUGUCGACAAGCUGGGGGUAAAAAAAAGUCACAGGAGCAUAAUCACAUGCAGUCGGUGUUCCUUGUAGCGGAGUCCUACAUUUUUCUAUGGGGGGGGGGUGGCCUAUUGGUGUCCGCUCUGUAAUACUAAUGUUUGAAUGGAUGGUGAUGAUGAUGAUGUCGGUGAUGGUUGCCCUCGUAAUGGAUUGGAUGGGCUGUGAUGUUUCUGGACAAGCACUCUGGAGGUCUGACAAGGACAAUGCAAUGUAUCUGCUACUUUCUGUUACUUCUCAUUAUAGUGUUUCAUCUAUUAGGCUGUAUUGACAAUAAA
ensembl:lncRNA